AUGUCAAGUCUACUUUUAAAGGUUCCAAGAUUAUCCCUGCAGUCCCCCACAACAAGAAGGCAAACACCCCAAAGGGAAGCACAGCCUUGCAAUUUGAAUGCACAUCCUUUUAAAGCAUUUCUCAGCAGCCCAACUUUUGCUUGUAUUGGCCAGAACUGUGUAACUGGCUACUACUAUCUGCAAGAUUGCUCAAGAAAUGUAAUUUUUGUAGCUUUCAACCAAAAUCUGAGUUUCCUUGGUAAGAGCAAUAAUGGUGGAUCUUCAGUGGACAACUAGUGGUCUAUGCCCUGGUUAUAAAAUAUAGUUGUACGGGAGCAUAAUAUUUGAAACAGAUCAAAAUGAUAGCUUUCUCACUGGCAAAACUCCAGCAACACUGCUCAGCUCCAAGUGAGCAGAGUGAAGACAUGGCAGAUUUUCUCAUGAAACACUCGUCAGCACUGACCUCUUUGCCAACAUACUUGCCUUGAGCUGGGAUUCUCUAGAGGAGGAGCCUGAAGACCCACAUAUUUUCUUGGUAGACAUGAUCCCUGUAUGGAGGUUGGGCGUAGGAUAAAGAAUGUUCUACUUUGCCACUUCCUCACAUGCACCAUUUAUCUCCUCCUUAAUUUUCCUGGCAGUUAGAUUUGGGUGGAAUCUAGAGUGUGUAUUUGAUCCCUGUAAAUGACCAUCCCUUUCAUAUGCAAAGAAAGACAACCUUACUUCCUUCUGUGACUCCACCACCAGUCUAGGAAUAUUCUGGGACAAGAAUUGUCUCUCCAAGCUGCUUCCACAAGCAGCCUACACCCUGGCUAACCAAAGGGAGAAGAAACACUUCCCACAUACAGGGCUGUCCAAAAGAACUUUCUGUGAUGAUAGAAAUGUUCUAUAUCUGCAGUGUCCAAUAUGGUAACAAGUAGUAAACACUUAAAAUGUGUCAAGUGUGACUGAGGAAGUAAAAUGUAGAUUUUAUUGAAUUUUAAUUAUUCUUGUUUUAAAUAGCUACAUAGGGCUAGUGGCUGUUGUAUUGAACAGUGAAGUCCACAUCUUUCUCUUUGUUGUGUUUUAGAACUAGUGGGAGAGAUGUGGGCCAGUCAUGUGCUGUGUCCCAUCACUGUUCUACUUUACCAUUGAACUUUUCUCCCAGAGGAAAAAGAACAAUGGUAUUUUGGAACUAAACACAAGAUGUUAACAUGACAUCUAUGCAUUGCACAUCUUCCUAUAAAAAAUGGAAUGGUCUCCUGGGAAUAGGUCUUGUGCCUGACUGUAGUGAUGCUUACUAAUUGAAAACAUGGCAGUGCUGGUCCACUAACCUUCUUAGUGGCUGUGUUCCUAGUCAGAGUGAUUCAGCAGAAGGUAUUUUGUUUUAAUCAUGCAAUUUAUUCUGUUACUUUAUUUUUGUAAUAUUAUGACUGCUAAAUGAUUAUUCUGUGGAAGUUUUUCAAAAUAUGCAACUGGUUUAUAUUUUUUAAAAAGACUAUGAAAUAAAAAUAUUAUUAUAUGCAACUCAGUUUUUUGUGUG
rnacentral:lncRNA from 1 species